rnacentral:rRNA from 1 species
AAUGCACAUGCUGUGAGCUCGAUGAGUAGGGCGGGACACGUGGUAUCCUGUCUGAAUAUGGGGGGACCAUCCUCCAAGGCUAAAUACUCCUGACUGACCGAUAGUGAACCAGUACCGUGAGGGAAAGGCGAAAAGAACCCCGGCGAGGGGAGUGAAAAAGAACCUGAAACCGUGUACGUACAAGCAGUGGGAGCCUCUUUUAUGGGGUGACUGCGUACCUUUUGUAUAAUGGGUCAGCGACUUAUAUUCUGUAGCAAGGUUAACCGAAUAGGGGAGCCGAAGGGAAACCGAGUCUUAACUGGGCGUUAAGUUGCAGGGUAUAGACCCGAAACCCGGUGAUCUAGCCAUGGGCAGGUUGAAGGUUGGGUAACACUAACUGGAGGACCGAACCGACUAAUGUUGAAAAAUUAGCGGAUGACUUGUGGCUGGGGGUGAAAGGCCAAUCAAACCGGGAGAUAGCUGGUUCUCCCCGAAAGCUAUUUAGGUAGCGCCUCGUGAAUUCAUCUCCGGGGGUAGAGCACUGUUUCGGCAAGGGGGUCAUCCCGACUUACCAACCCGAUGCAAACUGCGAAUACCGGAGAAUGUUAUCACGGGAGACACACGGCGGGUGCUAACGUCCGUCGUGAAGAGGGAAACAACCCAGACCGCCAGCUAAGGUCCCAAAGUCAUGGUUAAGUGGGAAACGAUGUGGGAAGGCCCAGACAGCCAGGAUGUUGGCUUAGAAGCAGCCAUCAUUUAAAGAAAGCGUAAUAGCUCACUGGUCGAGUCGGCCUGCGCGGAAGAUGUAACGGGGCUAAACCAUGCACCGAAGCUGCGGCAGCGACGCUUAUGCGUUGUUGGGUAGGGGAGCGUUCUGUAAGCCUGCGAAGGUGUACUGUGAGGUAUGCUGGAGGUAUCAGAAGUGCGAAUGCUGACAUAAGUAACGAUAAAGCGGGUGAAAAGCCCGCUCGCCGGAAGACCAAGGGUUCCUGUCCAACGUUAAUCGGGGCAGGGUGAGUCGACCCCUAAGGCGAGGCCGAAAGGCGUAGUCGAUGGGAAACAGGUUAAUAUUCCUGUACUUGGUGUUACUGCGAAGGGGGGACGGAGAAGGCUAUGUUGGCCGGGCGACGGUUGUCCCGGUUUAAGCGUGUAGGCUGGUUUUCCAGGCAAAUCCGGAAAAUCAAGGCUGAGGCGUGAUGACGAGGCACUACGGUGCUGAAGCAACAAAUGCCCUGCUUCCAGGAAAAGCCUCUAAGCAUCAGGUAACAUCAAAUCGUACCCCAAACCGACACAGGUGGUCAGGUAGAGAAUACCAAGGCGCUUGAGAGAACUCGGGUGAAGGAACUAGGCAAAAUGGUGCCGUAACUUCGGGAGAAGGCACGCUGAUAUGUAGGUGAAGUCCCUCGCGGAUGGAGCUGAAAUCAGUCGAAGAUACCAGCUGGCUGCAACUGUUUAUUAAAAACACAGCACUGUGCAAACACGAAAGUGGACGUAUACGGUGUGACGCCUGCCCGGUGCCGGAAGGUUAAUUGAUGGGGUUAGCGCAAGCGAAGCUCUUGAUCGAAGCCCCGGUAAACGGCGGCCGUAACUAUAACGGUCCUAAGGUAGCGAAAUUCCUUGUCGGGUAAGUUCCGACCUGCACGAAUGGCGUAAUGAUGGCCAGGCUGUCUCCACCCGAGACUCAGUGAAAUUGAACUCGCUGUGAAGAUGCAGUGUACCCGCGGCAAGACGGAAAGACCCCGUGAACCUUUACUAUAGCUUGACACUGAACAUUGAGCCUUGAUGUGUAGGAUAGGUGGGAGGCUUAGAAGUGUGGACGCCAGUCUGCAUGGAGCCGACCUUGAAAUACCACCCUUUAAUGUUUGAUGUUCUAACGUUGACCCGUAAUCCGGGUUGCGGACAGUGUCUGGUGGGUAGUUUGACUGGGGCGGUCUCCUCCUAAAGAGUAACGGAGGAGCACGAAGGUUGGCUAAUCCUGGUCGGACAUCAGGAGGUUAGUGCAAUGGCAUAAGCCAGCUUGACUGCGAGCGUGACGGCGCGAGCAGGUGCGAAAGCAGGUCAUAGUGAUCCGGUGGUUCUGAAUGGAAGGGCCAUCGCUCAACGGAUAAAAGGUACUCCGGGGAUAACAGGCUGAUACCGCCCAAGAGUUCAUAUCGACGGCGGUGUUUGGCACCUCGAUGUCGGCUCAUCACAUCCUGGGGCUGAAGUAGGUCCCAAGGGUAUGGCUGUUCGCCAUUUAAAGUGGUACGCGAGCUGGGUUUAGAACGUCGUGAGACAGUUCGGUCCCUAUCUGCCGUGGGCGCUGGAGAACUGAGGGGGGCUGCUCCUAGUACGAGAGGACCGGAGUGGACGCAUCACUGGUGUUCGGGUUGUCAUGCCAAUGGCACUGCCCGGUAGCUAAAUGCGGAAGAGAUAAGUGCUGAAAGCAUCUAAGCACGAAACUUGCCCCGAGAUGAGUUCUCCCUGACUCCUUGAGAGUCCUGAAGGAACGUUGAAGACGACGACGUUGAUAGGCCGGGUGUGUAAGCGCAGCGAUGCGUUGAGCUAACCGGUACUAAUGAACCGUGAGGCUUAACCUUACAACGCCGAAGGUGUUU